rnacentral:sRNA from 1 species
GCAGUUCCUUGCCAAUUUUUGAUAGCAUUGCGUUCAUCCACUUUCUCAGGCAGGGACUACAGGAAAUGAAGGUGAACUUGUGGAGAUUUUGGAGAGAAUUUAAUGAAGAGGCUGUUUACCAAGGAUCUCUGUCUGUCUCCGAGGCUGGAGUGCAAUGUUGCAAUCAGGACUCACUGCAGCCUCGACCUCCUGGGCUCAACUGAUCUUCCUACUACAGCCUCAUGAGUAACUGGGACUACAGAAGACCAUGGGCAUUUUUUCUAUGCAACUACAGAUAGUAUCCCAUGAUAUGAAUGGUCCUGGAUUUACUUACACAUCCUCCUUUUGAUGAGCAAGCAGUGGUUCUGGUGGACAUUGAGAGGCAAUUUUUAUUUGCUGCACGUGGAAAGGACAACAACAUACCUGGACAGAAGUGCCUUGAGGAUGUACUGAAGGCCCCUCUCACAUUUCACAGCCAUAACUGUAAGUUUCCUGGGGCCUCUCUAGAAGACAAGCAGAUGCCGCUGUGCUUCCUGAACAGCCCACAGAACUCGAUGGGGUUUCACCAUGUUAGCCAGGAUGGUCUCGAUCUCCUGACCUCGUGAUCCACCCGCCUUGGCCUCCCAAAGUGCUGGGAUUACAGGCGUGAGCCACCGCGCCUCGCCAAUGGUCUUCUGGUUU